GGGAGCCUGUGAAACGGCUACCACAUCCAAGGAUGGCAGCAGGCGCGCAAAUUACCCAAUCCCGACACGGGGAGGUAGUGACAAUAAAUAACAAUACGGGGUUCUUUAGGAUCUCGUAAUUGGAAUGAGUACAAUUUAAAUCUCUUAACGAGGAACAAUUGGAGGGCAAGUCUGGUGCCAGCAGCCGCGGUAAUUCCAGCUCCAAUAGCGUAUAUUAAAGUUGUUGCAGUUAAAAAGCUCGUAGUUGAAUUUCGGGGUUAGUAGGUUGGUCAUGCCUCUGGUAUGUACUGGUCUCACUGAUUCCUCCUUCCUUAUGAACCGUAAUGCCAUUAAUUUGGUGUUGCGGGGAAUUUGGACUGUUACUUUGAAAAAAUUAGAGUGUUUAAAGCAAGCUAACGCUUGAAUACAUUAGCAUGGAAUAAUGAAAUAGGACGUUCGAUCUUAUUUUGUUGGUUUCUAGGAUUGACGUAAUGAUUAAUAGGGAUAGUUGGGGGCAUUAGUAUUCAAUUGUCAGAGGUGAAAUUCUUGGAUUUAUUGAAGACUAACUACUGCGAAAGCAUUUGCCAAGGAUGUUUUCAUUAAUCAAGAACGAAAGUUAGGGGAUCGAAGACGAUCAGAUACCGUCGUAGUCUUAACCAUAAACUAUGCCGACUAGGGAUCGGAUGAUGUUAAUUUUUUAAUGACUCAUUCGGCGCCUUACG
rnacentral:rRNA from 1 species